CGGGAAUGCCUUGACCUUUUCUGGUCUGAUGGACUUCUUGUUAAGGGAGGUUUUGGUACCUGACAAUAAUAGAUGUUGAAACUAAAUUUCUCCCCCCUCCCUCCUGCUUUUGGGUAGUUUUCCACUUCUGCUGCUUGGGGUAUAAAAAAAGUGUGUUAGCAAUAAAGUGUGUGACUCCUGGAUGAAGAACCUUGGUGUCCUGUGUGUCUUUUAACCUCGCCGUCCCUCGCUGGACUCGGCUCCCUUGGCCGGACGCGGCACCGAUCUGCCUUAGAUGUGUGGAGGUAACUUUAGCUACAUUUUAGACUAAAAAUGUCCCUAGUAUGCUUCUCCUGUAAGGGACCAAAAGUCAAUAGAACCGCCAGCUUUUCUGUUCUCACCUUUUACACCCCUUUUAGCUGUGUUUUAAAGAACUUUGAUAAACUUUACUCCCCUUUGUUAAAUGAGAUUAGGGAAGCAAUGUUUUCUUUUCUUCCUGUAGUUGGCUUGAGUGCACCCACUGCAGAGGGAAAUGCCUGCUGGGGACCUAAGGACUUUGAUACCUCGCUUUUUCUUUUUCUCAAAACCCUGUCCUCAUUAUUAAAUUGGCAUUAAUUGGCUUCAAGAACAAGAACUGAAUUUUCAGUUACAAAUUUUGACACCCCAGGGAGGAGCCUCCCCUCUGCUUUCUUGGGGAACCUAGCACUCUGAACAACUGCAUGCCGAGGAUGUAAGAUGAACUUUUGGGGAGCCGACUACUGAAAAGUUAGGAGAUAGGGAGAGUGCCUGGUGCCUAGGGUGGGACCAAACCAGAGGAACUAAUCCUAUAAAUAAAAGGAGGGACUGAGGGACUCCCAGCAGCUGCCAAAGCCAUUUUGCUUUGGGGAACUUCCUCAUUUCUUCCCUGCACUGUAAGGAUUGCUCCGUCUCUGUCUACUUAAAAAGAAGAGGACACUGAAUGCAGUAAAGUCGCCACACCAAGACCCUUGAUUUUACAUCUAUAGUUGCCCCUAUGUGAAAACAUCUGGUCCACUCGUGGGGAAAUCUAUGGUGCCACUGAUGUAGGAGUCAUAAUUAAAUGAGUUAGAAACCUGGGGAGAUUUUUCUCUUAUGUGGUCUGUCUGUUUUAAAGGUUAUUAUGGAUUGAUUCUUGGAGAUAAUCUAGGCUAAAUGUGUGUCUAAAAGACGGUUUUUUAUUGUAACAAUCUGGUAUCUGAAUGGGGUUUUGAAGCAUUGCAUAAUCUUGAAGUUAAAAGUUGGAU
rnacentral:lncRNA from 1 species